ACUAGGAAUUUUGCGCAAUGGGGGCAACCCUGACGCAGCGACACAGCGUGGAGGAGGAAGGUCUUCGGAUUGUAAACUCCUUUUAUAUGGGAAGAAUAGAUGACUGUACCAUAUGAAUAAGCACCUGCUAACUACGUGCCAGAAGCAUCGGUGAUGCGUAGGGUGCGAACGUUAUCCGGAUUUAUUGGGCGUAAAGAGAUGCGUAGGCGUUUCAGUUAGUCUUUCGUUAAAAGUCACGGCUUAACCGUGAAGAUGCGUUGGAUACUGCUGAAAUUGAGACAUGAAUGGGUGAACGGAACUCCAAGUGGAGCGGUGAAAUGCGUUGAUAUUUGGAAGAACAUCAGAGGCGAAGGCGGUUCACUGGUCAUUGUCUGACGCUAAGGCUCGAAAGCGUGGGUAGCAAAACGGAUUAGAUACCCCAGUAGUCC
rnacentral:rRNA from 1 species